ACCUUUCUUAAAAGCUGAGCCCAUGCUGUGUCACGUAUGCGUCAGUAGGUGGCAGAGAGGAGAGAGCUUCUGUCUACUCUCAGUGUUCUGACCAGAGAACAUCUGAAGGGUUAGUAGCCUAACAUU